rnacentral:rRNA from 1 species
GACGAACGCUGGCGGCGUGCUUAACACAUGCAAGUCGAACGGAAAGGCCCUGCUUUUGUGGGGUGCUCGAGUGGCGAACGGGUGAGUAACACGUGAGUAACCUGCCCUUGACUUUGGGAUAACUUCAGGAAACUGGGGCUAAUACCGGAUAGGAGCUCCUGCUCCAUGGUGGGGGUUGGAAAGUUUCGGCGGUUGGGGAUGGACUCGCGGCUUAUCAGCUUGUUGGUGGGGUAGUGGCUUACCAAGGCUUUGACGGGUAGCCGGCCUGAGAGGGUGACCAGCCACAUUGGGACUGAGAUACGGCCCAGACUCCUACGGGAGGCAGCAGUGGGGAAUAUUGCACAGUGGGCGGAAGCCUGAGGCAGCAACGCCGCGUGCGGGAUGACGUCCUUCGGGUUGUAAACCGCUUUCGCCUGUGACGAAGCGUGAGUGACGGUAAUGGGUAAAGAAGCACCGGCUAACUACGUG